rnacentral:rRNA from 1 species
CUCCGGUGAUCCCUGCCGGACCCGACUGCUAUCAGAGUGAGAUUAAGCCAUGCGAGUUAACGUAGCAAUACGUGGCGCACGGCUCAGUAACACGUAGUCAACAUGCCCAGGGGACGUGGAUAACCUCGGGAAACUGAGGAUAAACCGCGAUAGGUCAUCACUUCUGGAAUGGGUAAUGACUUAAAUCUAUAUGGCCCCUGGAUUGGACUGCGGCCGAUCAGGCUGUUGGUGAGGUAAUGGCCCACCAAACCUGUAACCGGUACGGGCUCUGAGAGGAGGAGCCCGGAGAUGGGCACUGAGACAAGGGCCCAGGCCCUAUGGGGCGCAGCAGGCGCGAAACCUCUGCAAUAGGCGAAAGCUUGACAGGGUUACUCUGAGUGAUUUCCGUUAAGGAGAUCUUUUGGCACCUCUAAAAAUGGUGCAGAAUAAGGGGUGGGCAAGUCUGGUGUCAGCCGCCGCGGUAAUACCAGCACCCCGAGUGGUCGGGACGUUUAUUGGGCCUAAAGCAUCCGUAGCCGGUUCUACAAGUCUUCCGUUAAAUCCACCUGCUUAACAGAUGGGCUGCGGAAGAUACUAUAGAGCUAGGAGGCGGGAGAGGCAAGCGGUACUCGAUGGGUAGGGGUAAAAUCCGUUGAUCCAUUGAAGACCACCAGUGGCGAAGGCGGCUUGCCAGAACGCGCUCGACGGUGAGGGAUGAAAGCUGGGGGAGCAAACCGGAUUAGAUACCCGGGUAGUCCCAGCUGUAAACGAUGCAGACUCGGUGAUGAGUUGGCUUAUUGCUAACUCAGUGCCGCAGGGAAGCCGUUAAGUCUGCCGCCUGGGGAGUACGGUCGCAAGACUGAAACUUAAAGGAAUUGGCGGGGGAGCA